rnacentral:rRNA from 1 species
GUGGGGUGAUGGCCUACCAAGGCGACGACGGGUAGCCGGCCUGAGAGGGUGAUCGGCCACAUUGGGACUGAGAUACGGCCCAGACUCCUACGGGAGGCAGCAGUGGGGAAUAUUGCACAAUGGGCGGAAGCCUGAUGCAGCGACGCCGCGUGAGGGAUGACGGCCUUCGGGUUGUAAACCUCUUUCAGCAGGGACGAAGCGUAAGUGACGGUACCUGCAGAAGAAGCACCGGCUAACUACGUGCCAGCAGCCGCGGUAAUACGUAGGGUGCGAGCGUUGUCCGGAAUUACUGGGCGUAAAGAGCUCGUAGGCGGUUUGUCACGUCGUCUGUGAAAUCCUAGGGCUUAACCCUGGACGUGCAGGCGAUACGGGCUGACUUGAGUACUACAGGGGAGACUGGAAUUUCUGGUGUAGCGGUGGAAUGCACAGAUAUCAGGAAGAACACCGAUGGCGAAGGCAGGUCUCUGGGUAGUAACUGACGCUGAGGAGCGAAAGCAUGGGUAGCGAACAGGAUUAGAUACCCUGGUAGUCCAUGCCGUAAACGGUGGGCGCCAGGUGUGGGGUUCCUUCCACGGGCUCCGCGCCGUAGCUAACGCAUUAAGCG